GGGUUGUGAGGUUAAGCGACUAAGCGUACACGGUGGAUGCCCUGGCAGUCAGAGGCGAUGAAGGACGUGCUAAUCUGCGAAAAGCGACGGCGAGGUGAUAUGAACCUUUGACCCGUCGAUGUCCGAAUGGGGAAACCCAGUGUGUUUCGACACACUAUCGUUAACUGAAUACAUAGGUUAACGAGGCGAACCGGGGGAACUGAAACAUCUAAGUACCCCGAGGAAAAGAAAUCAACCGAGAUUCCCCCAGUAGCGGCGAGCGAACGGGGAGCAGCCCGGAGUCUGAAUCAGCUUGUGUGUUAGUGGAACGGUCUGGAAAGUCCGACGGUACAGGGUGAUAGUCCCGUACACGAAAAUGCACAUGCUGUGAACUCGAAGAGUAGGGCGGGACACGUGGUAUCCUGUCUGAAUAUGGGGGGACCAUCCUCCAAGGCUAAAUACUCCUGACUGACCGAUAGUGAACCAGUACCGUGAGGGAAAGGCGAAAAGAACCCCGGCGAGGGGAGUGAAAAAGAACCUGAAACCGUGUACGUACAAGCAGUGGGAGCACCUUCGGGUGUGACUGCGUACCUUUUGUAUAAUGGGUCAGCGACUUAUAUUCUGUAGCAAGGUUAACCGUAUAGGGGAGCCGAAGGGAAACCGAGUCUUAACUGGGCGUUAAGUUGCAGGGUAUAGACCCGAAACCCGGUGAUCUAGCCAUGGGCAGGUUGAAGGUUGGGUAACACUAACUGGAGGACCGAACCGACUAAUGUUGAAAAAUUAGCGGAUGACCUGUGGCUGGGGGUGAAAGGCCAAUCAAACCGGGAGAUAGCUGGUUCUCCCCGAAAGCUAUUUAGGUAGCGCCUCGUGAACUCAUCUUCGGGGGUAGAGCACUGUUUCGGCUAGGGGGCCAUCCCGGCUUACCAACCCGAUGCAAACUACGAAUACCGAAGAAUGUUAUCACGGGAGACACACGGCGGGUGCUAACGUCCGUCGUGAAGAGGGAAACAACCCAGACCGCCAGCUAAGGUCCCAAAGUCAUGGUUAAGUGGGAAACGAUGUGGGAAGGCACAGACAGCCAGGAUGUUGGCUUAGAAGCAGCCAUCAUUUAAAGAAAGCGUAAUAGCUCACUGGUCGAGUCGGCCUGCGCGGAAGAUGUAACGGGGCUAAACCAUGCACCGAAGCUGCGGCAGCGACACUAUGUGUUGUUGGGUAGGGGAGCGUUCUGUAAGCCGUUGAAGGUGUGCUGUGAGGCAUGCUGGAGGUAUCAGAAGUGCGAAUGCUGACAUAAGUAACGAUAAAGCGGGUGAAAAGCCCGCUCGCCGGAAGACCAAGGGUUCCUGUCCAACGUUAAUCGGGGCAGGGUGAGUCGACCCCUAAGGCGAGGCCGAAAGGCGUAGUCGAUGGGAAACAGGUUAAUAUUCCUGUACUUGGUGUUACUGCGAAGGGGGGACGGAGAAGGCUAUGUCAGCCGGGCGACGGUUGUCCCGGUUUAAGCAUGUAGGCGGAGGUUCCAGGUAAAUCCGGUACCUUGUUAACGCUGAGGUGUGAUGACGAGGCACUACGGUGCUGAAGUGAUAAAUGCCCUGCUUCCAGGAAAAGCCUCUAAGCAUCAGGUAACACGAAAUCGUACCCCAAACCGACACAGGUGGUCAGGUAGAGAAUACCAAGGCGCUUGAGAGAACUCGGGUGAAGGAACUAGGCAAAAUGGUGCCGUAACUUCGGGAGAAGGCACGCUGAUAUGUAGGUGAAGUCCCUGCGGACGGAGCUGAAAUCAGUCGAAGAUACCAGCUGGCUGCAACUGUUUAUUAAAAACACAGCACUGUGCAAACACGAAAGUGGACGUAUACGGUGUGACGCCUGCCCGGUGCCGGAAGGUUAAUUGAUGGGGUUAGCGGCAACGCGAAGCUCUUGAUCGAAGCCCCGGUAAACGGCGGCCGUAACUAUAACGGUCCUAAGGUAGCGAAAUUCCUUGUCGGGUAAGUUCCGACCUGCACGAAUGGCGUAAUGAUGGCCAGGCUGUCUCCACCCGAGACUCAGUGAAAUUGAACUCGCUGUGAAGAUGCAGUGUACCCGCGGCAAGACGGAAAGACCCCGUGAACCUUUACUAUAGCUUGACACUGAACACUGGUCCUUGAUGUGUAGGAUAGGUGGGAGGCUUUGAAGCGUGGACGCCAGUCUGCGUGGAGCCGUCCUUGAAAUACCACCCUUUAAUGGCUGGUGUUCUAACGUAGACCCGUGAUCCGGGUUGCGGACAGUGUCUGGUGGGUAGUUUGACUGGGGCGGUCUCCUCCCAAAGAGUAACGGAGGAGCACGAAGGUUGGCUAAUCCUGGUCGGACAUCAGGAGGUUAGUGCAAUGGCAUAAGCCAGCUUGACUGCGAGCGUGACGGCGCGAGCAGGUGCGAAAGCAGGUCAUAGUGAUCCGGUGGUUCUGAAUGGAAGGGCCAUCGCUCAACGGAUAAAAGGUACUCCGGGGAUAACAGGCUGAUACCGCCCAAGAGUUCAUAUCGACGGCGGUGUUUGGCACCUCGAUGUCGGCUCAUCACAUCCUGGGGCUGAAGUAGGUCCCAAGGGUAUGGCUGUUCGCCAUUUAAAGUGGUACGCGAGCUGGGUUUAGAACGUCGUGAGACAGUUCGGUCCCUAUCUGCCGUGGGCGCUGGAGAAUUGAGGGGGGCUGCUCCUAGUACGAGAGGACCGGAGUGGACGCAUCACUGGUGUUCGGGUUGUCAUGCCAAUGGCACUGCCCGGUAGCUAAAUGCGGAAGAGAUAAGUGCUGAAAGCAUCUAAGCACGAAACUUGCCCCGAGAUGAGUUCUCCCUGAGACUUUAAGUCUCCUGAAGGAACGUUGAAGACGACGACGUUGAUAGGUCGGGUGUGUAAGCGCAGCGAUGCGUUGAGCUAACCGAUACUAAUGAACCGUGAGGCUUAACCUUACAACGCCGAAGCUGUU
rnacentral:rRNA from 1 species